UACGAAGGGGGCUAGCGUUGCUCGGAAUCACUGGGCGUAAAGCGCACGUAGGCGGGUUCUUAAGUCAGGGGUGAAAUCCUGGAGCUCAACUCCAGAACUGCCUUUGAUACUGGGAAUCUCGAGUCCGGGAGAGGUGAGUGGAACUGCGAGUGUAGAGGUGAAAUUCGUAGAUAUUCGCAAGAACACCAGUGGCGAAGGCGGCUCACUGGCCCGGUACUGACGCUGAGGUGCGAAAGCGUGGGUAGCGAACAGG
rnacentral:rRNA from 1 species